rnacentral:rRNA from 1 species
UACGUAGGGUGCAAGCGUUGUCCGGAAUUAUUGGGCGUAAAGAGCUCGUAGGCGGUUUGUCGCGUCUGCUGUGAAAAUCCAGGGCUUAACCCUGGACCUGCAGUGGGUACGGGCAGACUAGAGUGCGGUAGGGGAGAUCGGAAUUCCUGGUGUAGCGGUGAAAUGCGCAGAUAUCAGGAGGAACACCGGUGGCGAAGGCGGAUCUCUGGGCCGUAACUGACGCUGAGGAGCGAAAGCAUGGGGGGCGAACAGG